GACGAACGCUGGCGGCGUGCUUAACACAUGCAAGUCGAACGGAAAGGCCCUGCUUUUGUGGGGUGCUCGAGUGGCGAACGGGUGAGUAACACGUGAGUAACCUGCCCUUGACUUUGGGAUAACUUCAGGAAACUGGGGCUAAUACCGGAUAGGAGCUCCUGCUGCAUGGUGGGGGUUGGAAAGUUUCGGCGGUUGGGGAUGGACUCGCGGCUUAUCAGCUUGUUGGUGGGGUAGUGGCUUACCAAGGCUUUGACGGGUAGCCGGCCUGAGAGGGUGACCGGCCACAUUGGGACUGAGAUACGGCCCAGACUCCUACGGGAGGCAGCAGUGGGGAAUAUUGCACAAUGGGCGGAAGCCUGAUGCGGCAACGCCGCGUGCGGGAUGACGGCCUUCGGGUUGUAAACCGCUUUCGCCUGUGACGAAGCGUGAGUGACGGUAAUGGGCAAAGAAGCACCGGCUAACUACGUG
rnacentral:rRNA from 1 species